CCUACGUGAGGCAGCAGUGAGGAAUAUUGGUCAAUGGGCUUACGCCUGAACCAGCCAAGUCGCGUGAGGGAAGACUGCCCUAUGGGUUGUAAACCUCUUUUGUCAGGGAGCAACGCCGGCUACGUGUAGCCGGACUGAGAGUACCUGAAGAAAAAGCAUCGGCUAACUCCGUGCCAGCAGCCGCGGUAAUACGGAGGAUGCGAGCGUUAUCCGGAUUUAUUGGGUUUAAAGGGUGCGUAGGCGGAAUGCCAAGUCAGCGGUAAAAUCGCGGGGCUCAACCUCGCUCCGCCGUUGAAACUGGCGUUCUUGAGUGGGCGAGAAGUAUGCGGAAUGCGUGGUGUAGCGGUGAAAUGCAUAGAGAUCACGCAGAACUCCGAUUGCGAAGGCAGCAUACCGGCGCCCAACUGACGCUGAAGCACGAAAGCGUGGGUAUCGAACAGGAUUAGAUACCCGAGUAGUC
rnacentral:rRNA from 1 species